rnacentral:siRNA from 1 species
UUGUAGCUGCUAGGCCCUUUGGCA